rnacentral:tRNA from 1 species
UUCUAAGUAACCUAGGUUAGGUACUAAACUUUUAAUUUAGUUACGAUAAUUUUUAUCCUUAGGAA